AAUAGAUGAUGACAAAAUGUUUCGGUCCCAGAUGACAACCACUGAUAAAACUUAACAUUUUUCUGAUGUU
ensembl:snoRNA SNORD73 Small nucleolar RNA SNORD73